UGAACUUUCCAGUGACCUGGCUGGAGGCCAGAAGACUCAGACAGAACCAGGCCAUUGAGGAGCCAAGGAAGUAUCCACCAGGGGAAGCUAGAGGUGAAGUCCCCUGCAACAUUGCACCCUCCCAGGAGGGGGUGCUAUUAUGAAACAAGAGAAUAGAACAGUGAGCAGUUUGCCAGGCAGUGGCCUGGGGCAGGAAACACAGGAAGAAAUGUGCAGGUCCUCCAAAUUCAGGAACUUUCACUUCCACAGAGCUCUGUGGAAAACUGUCAUCUUCCAUGUCACUACAGAGAAGAGAGAAGUCUUCACAGGCAAUUGACUCUUGUGGUGGCUGACCCGGUGCACACUGAAGUUAAUGGAGUGCCUUGGAAGGUGCAGCAGCUGCCUCAGCCUGCCAGUGGCACUGCUCUUGUGUUGUCGGCAGCAGCAGUGGGCGGCGACGAGGGAGCGCAGUGCAGAGCCGCAGGGCAGCCACCCGCUUGAGACAGGGACACUCCGGGCCGGGGGAGAGACCCGGCUCUGAACACUGGUGGAGCUGGGCCACCGGGCCCUGAAUAUUCCUGGAGCCUGGCCACCAUAGGCCCAUAUAACUCAUCACCCCUGGGGAGUUUUACCACUAUAAUUAUACCUGUCUAACUACAUCUAACACAAAACUCUGUGCUGAUGAAGCCUAAAAACAAUCCCUUCCUAUUAGUUGUCCAUAGAGUUUUCCUAGAGUAGCAGGGUAGAUUAGAUCUGCAUUUCUAUUUGAAGAAAAUCAGGAAAAAAAAUUGUUUCCGGCUUCCUUUCUGCAUAAUAAUAAAGCAAACAGAGACACUCUUUGGAUUUCUUUUGCUGGUCAGCUUUAUAGAGGGCAGCAGGACUACAGGUGUAGUGAAAGUCAUAGGCGCCAACUCGGUGGGUGCUCCAAAUAGUGGAUGCUCAGCACCUACCAGACACCCAUCCAUCAGCUGUUUGGCAGGCCAAAUCAGUCGCUUGGUGGCAGGCAGAGGGAGGCAGGAA